UACGUAGGGGGCAAGCGUUGUCCGGAAUCAUUGGGCGUAAAGAGCGCGUAGGCGGUCCGAUAAGUCGGUUGUGAAAACUGGGGGCUCAACCCUCAGAGGCCGACCGAUACUGUCGGGCUAGAGUCCGGAAGAGGCGAGUGGAAUUCCUGGUGUAGCGGUGAAAUGCGCAGAUAUCAGGAGGAACACCGGUGGCGAAGGCGGGUCUCUGGGCCGACAUUGACGCUGAGGAGCGAAAGCGUGGGGAGCGAACAGG
rnacentral:rRNA from 1 species